CCCUUAGAUGUUCUGGGCUGCACGCGCGCUACACUGAAGCGUUCAACGAGUAUUCACCUUGCCCGGGAGGGUUGGGUAAUCUUUUGAAAACGCUUCGUGAUGGGGAUAGAUUAUUGCAAUUAUUAAUCUUCAACGAGGAAUUCCUAGUAAACGCAGUUCAUCAAACUGCAUUGAUUGCGUCCCUGCCCUUUGUACACACCGCCCGUCGCACCUACCGAUUGGAUGGUCCGGUGAAGCCUCGGGAUUGUGGCGGUUGCCUUUAUUGGUGGCCGCCGCGAGAACUUGUCUAAACCUUAUCAUCUAGAGGAAGGUGAAGUCGUAACA
rnacentral:rRNA from 1 species